AUUGAACGCUGGCGGCAUGCCUUACACAUGCAAGUCGAACGGUAACGGGUCCUUCGGGAUGCCGACGAGUGGCGAACGGGUGAGUAAUAUAUCGGAACGUGCCCAGUAGUGGGGGAUAACUGCUCGAAAGAGCAGCUAAUACCGCAUACGACCUGAGGGUGAAAGGGGGGGAGCGCGGGACCUCUCGCUAUUGGAGAGGCCGAUAUCAGAUUAGCUAGCUGGUGGGGUAAAGGCCUACCAAGGCAACGAUCUGUAGUUGGUCUGAGAGGACGACCAGCCACACUGGGACUGAGACACGGCCCAGACUCCUACGGGAGGCAGCAGUGGGGAAUUUUGGACAAUGGGCGCAAGCCUGAUCCAGCAAUGCCGCGUGCAGGAAGAAGGCCUUCGGGUUGUAAACUGCUUUUGUCAGGGAAGAAAUCUUCUGGGCUAAUACCCCGGGAGGAUGACGGUACCUGAAGAAUAAGCCCCGGCUAACUUCGUGCCAGCAGCCGCGGUAA
rnacentral:rRNA from 1 species